rnacentral:rRNA from 1 species
UCGCGCGCGCAGUUCCGUAGCAAUACGGGAUGGGCGCACGGCGCACGGGAUGCGUAACACGUUGGGCAAUCUGCCCUCUGAUGGGGAAUAACCCGCCGAAAGGCGGGCUAAUUCCGCAUAAGAUUCCCGGAACUUCGGUUCUGGGAUUGAAAGCCGUAAUGCGUCCGAGGAGGAGCCCGCGCCCGAUUAGCUAGUUGGUGAGGUAACGGCUCACCAAGGCCAUGAUCGGUAGCUUGUCUGAGAGGAUGAUCAGCCACACUGGAACUGAGACACUGUCCAGACUCCUACGGGAGGCAGCAGUGGGGAAUCUUGCACAAUGGGCGAAAGCCUGAUGCAGCGACGCCGCGUGGGGGAUGAAGCAUUUCGGUGUGUAAACCCCUUUCGACUGGGAAGAAUGCCUCGCAAGAGGAGUGACGGUACCAGUAAAAGAAGCCCCGGCUAACUACGUGCCACCAGCCGCGGAAAGACGUAGGGGGCCAGCGUUGUUCGGAUUUACUGGGUGUAAAGGGUUCGUAGGCGGUGCGGCAAGUUGGGAGUGAAAUCUCUGGGCUUAACCCAGAGGCUGCUUCCAAAACUGCUGUGCUCGAGUGUGAGAGAGGCUCGUGGAAUUGCAGGUGUAGCGGUGAAAUGCGUAGAUAUCUGCAGGAACACCCGUGGCGAAAGCGGCGAACUGGAUCACUACUGACGCUGAGGAACGAAAGCUAGGGGAGCAAACAGGAAUUCAUAACCCUGUUGGUCCUAGCCCUAAACGAUCAAUGACUUGAGGUGCCGCCCGUUCGGGCGUCGUCCCGGGAGCUAACGCGUUUAAGUCCUGCACCUGGGGAGUACGGUCGCAAGACUUGAAACUCAAAGGAAUUGACGG